UUGGUUAGGUUAACAAACAAGGGUCAUUUCUAAGGCCAUUGAAACGAAAGUGCCGAUGCAAAAGAGACAUUCACAGUAUUAUUCACACUACUCGACUUUGUUUCAUUUGUUUCUUAUUUGAAACCUUCACAACACAUAUUCCACAACUCAAUUUUUAUUUUUCACUAUUUUUCUUCCAAGCAAGCAUUCAUUUUCAUUUUUUCUAUUUUUGUUCUUUUCUUUCACAUCAAAUAUACAAAACAGAUGUUUCUUUUCUAUAUUUUCUAUACAUAUAUUUUUCUAUGCUUGCUCGGUUUUUCUUUUCUUUUUCAAGAGUUGUGGUACUUACCAAUUCUUUUUCGUUCUCCCCAACUUAUUUCUUCCACACCCUAAGUGAAUGCUCUUACCUUUUUACGGCAAAAGAACAAUAAUCAAGAUUUUCCGGGUUGUAAAAAAAAGAUUUUUGAGAUCUCGCUUUAUUUCAAGCCGAGAUUCAACUGUUUAGGCUCAAAGGGGUUAACAAAUACUCUCUCUGCUCACAGGUAAGUUGUUUUUGGAUGUAGUUGUGCUCGAAAGAAAACAAGUGCCUUGAUCAUUUCUAAUUGCUUCCACAAUUUCACAAUAAUAAAAGAC
rnacentral:lncRNA from 1 species